CUAUUGCCUUGCAGUGCCUGGCAGCACUGUGUUCCUGUUAGAGCCACCAGCACAAGCACCAGACGAUGCUGAUCCAGGUGAAGGCCCCAGUGCAGCAGCAACAGCACAUGAUGGAGACGAUGAUGAGGAGGAGACCAUCUCUCUGGAUUCCAGAAGGCAUGAGGACCCAGAUGCUAUACAGUGGGAAAACCAGCCUGGCAACAUAGUGCGUAUUAAUAAAAGGACACCACAUCCUGCCAAAUUCCAGCUGCGCUAAUUGUAUUGUGUUCACAGAGCUCACAAGCUAUCAGAAAGUUGUAUGGCAACCACCUCCGGCGCCAAAUAGAACUGGCAGACAUAGACAUUCAGUACAAGAAGAAAAAGAUGGAAAAUCUUGCACUGGAGUCCGAAAUAAAAAAGAGGACAAUUAGGAAACUGGACCUUGAAAUAAAAAAAACUUGAGAGGGAGCUCCAAGAAGAUGACACAGCUCAAAAUAAAAAUUAGGUAUAUUCUCGUAAAGUCAAGUGAGCCAUGACAUAUGAGCUCUUAUUGUGAGCACACAGGACGGUGGCAUCUUUCUAAGGUUUUUUUUAUU